rnacentral:rRNA from 1 species
AGUGAACGCUGGCGGUAGGCCUAACACAUGCAAGUCGAACGGCAGCACAGUAAGAGCUUGCUCUUACGGGUGGCGAGUGGCGGACGGGUGAGGAAUACAUCGGAAUCUACUUUUUCGUGGGGGAUAACGUAGGGAAACUUACGCUAAUACCGCAUACGACCUACGGGUGAAAGCAGGGGAUCUUCGGACCUUGCGCGAUUGAAUGAGCCGAUGUCGGAUUAGCUAGUUGGCGGGGUAAAGGCCCACCAAGGCGACGAUCCGUAGCUGGUCUGAGAGGAUGAGCAGCAACACUGGAACUGAGACAAGGUCCAGACUCCUACGGGAGGCAGCAGUGGGGAAUAUUGGACAAUGGGCGCAAGCCUGAUCCAGCCAUACCGCGUGGGUGAAGAAGGCCUUCGGGUUGUAAAGCCCUUUUGUUGGGAAAGAAAAGCAGCAGGUUAAUACCCCGCUGUUCUGACGGUACCCAAAGAAUAAGCACCGGCUAACUUCGUG